rnacentral:lncRNA from 1 species
GUCUCCGUCUCCGUUCCGUUCCGUUUCGUCGCAGGUACAACUACGACGUCAUCGACGACGUCCCGAUGGAAGGCCGCUACGACUGGGCUCGAAUUUAAUUAAUUUCAUAAUCAUGAUUAUAUAUAUAUAUAUAUAUAUAUAUAUAUAUAUAUAUUCACGUACUCGUAAGCAACUCAUGAGGGACAGUACAAAUGCUUUCAUUAUGACUAGUAAACACAGAUUUGAUUGAAGAUCGGCUAUGAGUUAUAUUCAAAUGAUGGGUUAGCUGACUACUUUU